rnacentral:rRNA from 1 species
CGAGCGAACAGAUGAGGAGCUUGCUCCUCUGACGUUAGCGGCGGACGGGUGAGUAACACGUGGAUAACCUACCUAUAAGACUGGGAUAACUUCGGGAAACCGGAGCUAAUACCGGAUAAUAUAUUGAACCGCAUGGUUCAAUAGUGAAAGACGGUUUUGCUGUCACUUAUAGAUGGAUCCGCGCCGCAUUAGCUAGUUGGUAAGGUAACGGCUUACCAAGGCAACGAUGCGUAGCCGACCUGAGAGGGUGAUCGGCCACACUGGAACUGAGACACGGUCCAGACUCCUACGGGAGGCAGCAGUAGGGAAUCUUCCGCAAUGGGCGAAAGCCUGACGGAGCAACGCCGCGUGAGUGAUGAAGGUCUUCGGAUCGUAAAACUCUGUUAUUAGGGAAGAACAAAUGUGUAAGUAACUAUACACGUCUUGACGGUACCUAAUCAGAAAGCCACGGCUAACUACGUGCCAGCAGCCGCGGUAAUACGUAGGUGGCAAGCGUUAUCCGGAAUUAUUGGGCGUAAAGCGCGCGUAGGCGGUUUUUUAAGUCUGAUGUGAAAGCCCACGGCUCAACCGUGGAGGGUCAUUGGAAACUGGAAAACUUGAGUGCAGAAGAGGAAAGUGGAAUUCCAUGUGUAGCGGUGAAAUGCGCAGAGAUAUGGAGGAACACCAGUGGCGAAGGCGACUUUC